UACGUAGGGUGCAAGCGUUAAUCGGAAUUACUGGGCGUAAAGCGUGCGCAGGCGGUUUUGUAAGCCAGAUGUGAAAUCCCCGGGCUUAACCUGGGAAUGGCAUUUGUGACUGCAUGGCUAGAGUUUGGCAGAGGGGGGUAGAAUUCCACGUGUAGCAGUGAAAUGCGUAGAUAUGUGGAGGAACACCGAUGGCGAAGGCAGCCCCCUGGGUCAAGACUGACGCUCAUGCACGAAAGCGUGGGGAGCAAACAGG
rnacentral:rRNA from 1 species